CCUAAGGUAGCGAAAUUCCUUGUCAGGUAAGUUCUGACCCGCACGAAAGGCGUAAUGAUUUGGGCGCUGUCUCGACAAUGUACUCGGCGAAAUUGUAGUACUAGUGAAGAUGCUAGUUACCUGCGACAAGACAGAAAGACCCCAUGGAGCUUUACUGCAGCUUGAUACUGGGUUUUGGUAAUUUAUGUACAGGAUAGGUGGGAUACUAAGAAGCAAGUGCGCCAGCAUUUGUGGAGUAGACGUUGGGAUACCACUCUUAAAUUAUUGAAAUUCUAACCUGUGAUCAUGAACUGGUCAGGGGACAAUGUCAGGCGGGCAGUUUGACUGGGGCGGUCGCCUCCUAAAGAGUAACGGAGGCGCCCAAAGGUUUCCUCAGCACGGACAGAAAUCGUGCGAAAGAGUGUAAAGGCAGAAGGAAGCUUAACUGGGAGACUGACAAGUCGAGCAGAUACGAAAGUAGGGCUUAGUGAUCCGGCGGUAGUGAGUGGAAAUGCCGUCGCUCAACGGACAAAAGUUACCCUGGGGAUAACAGGCUUAUCUCCCCCAAGAGUUCACAUCGACGGGGAGGUUUGGCACCUCGAUGUCGGCUCAUCGCAUCCUGGAGCUGAAGUAGGUUCCAAGGGUUGGGCUGUUCGCCCAUUAAAGCGGUACGCGAGCUGGGUUCAGAACGUCGUGAGACAGUUCGGUCCUUAUCUGUCGCAGGCGUAGGAUAUUUGAAGGGAGCUGUCCUUAGUACGAGAGGACCAGGAUGGACAUACCGAUGGUGUAUCAGUUGUCACACCAGUGGCACGGCUGAGUAGCUAAGUAUGGAAGGGAUAAACGCUGAAAGCAUCUAAGUGUGAAGCCCACCUUAAGAUAAGAUAUCCCAUUGCGUAAGCAAGUAAGAUCCCAUGAAGACUACAUGGUAGAUAGGUUGGGGGUGUAAGUACAGUAAUGUAUUAAGCUGACCAAUACUAAUAGAUCGAGGGCUUAACCAC
rnacentral:rRNA from 1 species